AAUGAACGCUGGCGGCAUGCCUAACACAUGCAAGUCGAACGACAGCACCGGAAGUGCUUGCUCCUGCGGGUGGCGGGUGGCGGACGGGUCACGUAUGCAUCGCAUACCUCUCUGACGGGGGUGAUAACGUCGGAAAACUUCUUCUACCGCAGCAUAUAUCGUACUGGUUUGAGCACGCGUUCUAGUCGCUUUUUGUGAUUGUAAUAGCCGAUGUCGGAUUAGCUAGUUGGCUGGGUAAAGGCACAGCUAGGCGACGCUGCGUAGCGGGUCUGACAGGGUGAUCCGCCACACUGGAACUGAGACACGGUCCAGACUCCUACGGGAGGCAGCAGUGGGGAAUCUUACGCAAUGGGCGAAAGCCUGAUGGAGCAACACCGCGUGAGUGAUGAAGGACUUCGGAUUGUAAAGCGCUGUUGUUGGGAAAGAAAAAAAGCGGGUUUAACCCGGACUGUAAUGACGGUACCGAAAGAAUAAGCACCGGCUAACUACGUG
rnacentral:rRNA from 1 species